UGGGGCGUCAGCCCCGACUGAGAUUAUACCUAACCAUGAUUUCGAGCACCUUUCCGUUUCCUCGGCGGGCUCGCUCGCCGGUGGACAACCGAAACUCUUUGCAAUGGCAGUAAAUUCUGAGAAAACAAAUAGUUAAAACUUUCAACAACGGAUCUCUUGGUUCUGGCAUCGAUGAAGAACGCAGCGAAAUGCGAUAAGUAGUGUGAAUUGCAGAAUUCAGUGAAUCAUCGAAUCUUUGAACGCACAUUGCGCCCCUCGGUAGUCCGUUGGGCAUGCCUGUUCGAGCGUCAUUUAAACCUUCAAGCUCAGCUUGGUGUUGGGUGCUUGUCCUCCCCCGUGGUGGACUCACCUCAAAUGCAUUGGCGGCCGGUAUGUUGGCUUCGAGCGCAGUAGAACGCGCCUGGCGUCUUGACGUACUGGUCCUCCACGAGACUAUUCUCAUCUUGACCUCGGAUCAGGUAGGGAUACCCGCUGAACUUAAGCAUAUCAAUAAGCGGAGGAAAAGAAACCAACAGGGAUUGCCCUAGUAACGGCGAGUGAAGCGGCAACAGCUCAAAUUUGAAAUCUGGGUCUUUCAGGCUCCGAGUUGUAAUUUGUAGAGGGCGCUUUGGUGUUGGCUGCGGUCUAAGUUCCUUGGAACAGGACGUCACAGAGGGUGAGAAUCCCGUACGUGGUCGACAGUCUUCACCGUGUAAAGCCCCUUCGACGAGUCGAGUUGUUUGGGAAUGCAGCUCUAAAUGGGAGGUAAAUUUCUUCUAAAGCUAAAUAUUGGCCAGAGACCGAUAGCGCACAAGUAGAGUGAUCGAAAGAUGAAAAGCACUUUGGAAAGAGAGUCAAAAAGCACGUGAAAUUGUUGAAAGGGAAGCGCUUGCAAUCAGACUUGCCCGUAGUUGUUCAUCUAGGUGUCUACCUGGUGCACUCUUCUAUGGGCAGGCCAGCAUCAGUUCAGGCGGCUGGAUAAAGGCCUCUAUCACGUAUCUUCCUUCGGGAUGACCUUAUAGGGGAGGUGUAAUGCAGCCAGCCUGGAUUGAGGUCCGCGC
rnacentral:rRNA from 1 species